rnacentral:lncRNA from 1 species
AUUAUUUGCCAAUUCAAAUAUGUCUGUAAUGACCCAGCCAAUUAGUACUAAUAAAUCGUUGGACCCUAACCACCCGUUCAAAAUAUUUAAGCCUAGUUAUUAUUUUUCGCCUGCCCAUUGUAUAUAAGCAUCUCACAUUCUCCAACAUUAGCUGAUGUGCGAUUAUUUGAAGGUCACACUCCUUCUGUUUUAUGCCCUGAUAUCUUCAUCAAUCCAAUUAUACAUAUGGUGCAAAAUCAUUAGGGAAUGUAAGACCCACCACAUACACACUUUCAAUUGAUAAUUCGGCUUUGAUAUCAACUGUGAUGCCCCUGCCUUCUAACACUAACAACCUUUGGGGCCGAAGGCUCAAAAUUCUUAGACCCAGUUUUAGUUCUAGUGUGCUUG